rnacentral:rRNA from 1 species
CCUACGGGUGGCAGCAGUGGGGAAUAUUGCACAAUGGGCGCAAGCCUGAUGCAGCCAUGCCGCGUGUGUGAAGAAGGCCUUCGGGUUGUAAAGCACUUUCAGCGGGGAGGAAGGCGUUAAGGUUAAUAACCUUGGCGAUUGACGUUACCCGCAGAAGAAGCACCGGCUAACUCCGUGCCAGCAGCCGCGGUAAUACGGAGGGUGCAAGCGUUAAUCGGAAUUACUGGGCGUAAAGCGCACGCAGGCGGUCUGUCAAGUCGGAUGUGAAAUCCCCAGGCUCAACCUGGGAACUGCAUUCGAAACUGGCAGGCUAGAGUCUUGGAGAGGGGGGUAGAAUUCCAGGUGUAGCGGUGAAAUGCGUAGAGAUCUGGAGGAAUACCGGUGGCGAAGGCGGCCCCCUGGACAAAGACUGACGCUCAGGUGCGAAAGCGUGGGGAGCAAACAGGAUUAGAUACCCGAGUAGUC